AUAUCAAUAAGCGGAGGAAAAGAAACCAACAGGGAUUACCCUAGUAACGGCGAGUGAAGCGGUAAUAGCUCAAAUUUGAAAUCUGACCUUUACGGGUUCGAGUUGUAAUUUGUAGAGGAUGUUUCGGGCAAGACUUUGGUUUAAGUUUCUUGGAACAGAACGUCAUAGAGGGUGAGAAUCCCGUCUAGAACCGAUAGUCACGUCCAUGUGAAACUCCUUCGACGAGUCGAGUUGUUUGGGAAUGCAGCUCAAAACGGGUGGGUAAAUUCCAUCUAAAGACGUAAAUAAUU
rnacentral:rRNA from 1 species